GCAAGCCUCCAUCCCAAUGUAUGGGGUUUGUAGGGAAUCACCCCCCCCAACACACACACACACACACACACACACACACACCCAGGUCAACCCUUUGGGGGUUGGGGAGAGAAACCAAGGCUUUGCGCCUCAGCAACCCCGGCUUUUCCUACAGCAGCGCCGGAGAGCAAAGGCAGAAGCGGGACGGGAAGCCCCACACGGUCGGCAACUUCUUGCCUUCCGUCCGGGAGAGAGAAGCGGGAACUGAACCAGACAGUUUUAGAGAUGCAGAUGACAAGACUCAGUAAUUCCUCUGUAGAACUGGAUCAGCAUCUCCUUGGGCAGGUUGUGUAGAGUUUUGAAAGCCUGCUGAAAUUUGAUGAUCUAAUUCGUCCAACUGUCGGACCACAACGUCAUGUGAAUGCAACCACAAAAACCUCAGGAUCAAAACUUUUUCAACCCUCUUUAAAAUAAAAACAACACCUUAAUCUCCAAGUCCUAACUGUAAAUUGAAACAUGGGUUAUUUCUUGUAAAAGAGGAAGGAAAUUGCCGGAGUAGGAAACGGCGUUGUCAGCUUGACAGAUCCAAAAGUGUCAUGAAAUAACUACGAAAUUUUCACAUAUUUCUUCAGUGAUUCUGAGCACGCUUGUUGCCAAGAAUCGAAACCCCUGCAGCAGCGCUGACAAAUGAAAUUGGCUCAGUCGGUCUACUAUUAGGACAAGGUUCAGUUGAGUUGUAAAAUCCAUAGGAAGCGCAGAGACUAUAAAUUCUGAUGUCUGUCUAGUUUGGUCUACUAGUGAAUGCACCAGGCUACAAAGUGGGAGACCAUGAGUUCAAGUCCCACCUUAGCCAUGAAAGUUGGUUGGCUGACAUUGGG